UGGGGAAUUUUGCACAAUGGGGGAAACCCUGAUGCAGCGACGCCGCGUGAUUUAGAAGGCCUUCGGGUUGUAAAAAUCUUUUCUAUGGGAAGAAAAUGACAGUACCAUAGGAAUAAGGACCGGCUAAUUACGUGCCAGCAGCCGCGGUAAUACGUAAGGUCCGAGCGUUGUCCGGAAUCAUUGGGCGUAAAGGGUACGUAGGCGGGUAAGCAAGUUAGAAGUGAAAUCCUAUAGCUCAACUAUAGUAAGCUUUUAAAACUGCUCAUCUUGAGGUAUGGAGGGAAAGUGGAAUUCCUAGUGUAGCGGUGAAAUGCGCAGAUAUUAGGAGGAAUACCGGUGGCGAAGGCGACUUUCUGGCCAUAACCUGACGCUGCGGUACGAAAGCGUGGGUAGCAAACAGG
rnacentral:rRNA from 1 species